rnacentral:rRNA from 1 species
AUUGAACGCUGGCGGAAUGCUUUACACAUGCAAGUCGAACGGCAGCACGGGGGCAGCCCUGGUGGCGAGUGGCGAACGGGUGAGUAAUACAUCGGAACGUGCCCGGUCGUGGGGGAUAACGUAGCGAAAGGUACGCUAAUACCGCAUACGAUCUGAGGAUGAAAGCGGGGGACCUUCGGGCCUCGCGCGAUCGGAGCGGCCGAUGUCAGAUUAGGUAGUUGGUGGGGUAAAGGCCUACCAAGCCGACGAUCUGUAGCUGGUCUGAGAGGACGACCAGCCACACUGGGACUGAGACACGGCCCAGACUCCUACGGGAGGCAGCAGUGGGGAAUUUUGGACAAUGGGCGCAAGCCUGAUCCAGCCAUUCCGCGUGCAGGACGAAGGCCUUCGGGUUGUAAACUGCUUUUGUACGGAACGAAAAGGCUCUGGCUAAUACCUGGGGCUCAUGACGGUACCGUAAGAAUAAGCACCGGCUAACUACGUG